AAUAACCAUGACAGAAACAUUUGGGCAAGUCAAUGAAAAUGAAUUUUAUAGAAUGUGAAAUGGAGGUGCUGGUGUUUGAGGUUGAGGCAAGAAGAAAAUUAAUAUCUGGAAGUCACUCUGGAAUUAGUAAUAAAAUGACAAUGCGGCAUAUGCUGUUAAUGCGAGAGGAGCAGAAUUUAGAUCACUGGCUGAAAUUAAAAAGAAAUGGACUGAAAUUAAGGUGGAUGUCAACAAGAAAGUUGGUGCACAUAUCUGGGGUGUUUCAACAACAGGUGGAGGCCCAGAAUUACCAGAACUGACUCCACAUAAAGGAAGAGUUUCUACAGUGAUCAGGAAAACGGCACUUCCUGGCCUCCUGCCAGAACACGAAGGGGAAUCGGACAUGUUGGGUAUUGGUCAAGUGGAAACCAGGAAGUGCAUCGGAUCUGAGAAGAACCUCAGUCAUUGGUGCUCACUCAAUGCUGUGCUGCAGUUAGAGGGAUGCUCUCCAAACCAUCAGAUUCUCCUCCAUUCUGAAUUCCAGUCUUUGUGUGAGAAAGAAAGAGAACACAAGGCAACGUGUGUUUUCUUUCUGGAUACAACCCAGAGACAGCUACAACUGUGCCUGAUGAGAUCUGCACUUGUUUUGCUCGCUGUCAGCGAGCACGGUUGGUGUCAUAUGUGGUGAUCCAGCUAAUGCAAAGCUGCAGCAGAAUAUCAGCACAAGCUUUGUUGAAAAGGUGCCACCGACAUCCAGGCUCUGGCAACUGUGAUUCAAGAGUUAAGUGGAACAAACCUGAAAUUUUUAUACAAGUUGAGGUUAGAAAUUAAAAUUUAAUUCACUAAAAAAAAUGCAGAAAAUCUACAGUAUAAUUUAAAGACUAUUAUAUUGUAUUUUACUGCCUUUGGUGAUUUUUGCUAAAGGCUAAGACUGUUUUGUGUUGAACUAAAUAAAAUUGUUUUUAACAAUGUGACAUUUUCUAAAUGCAGAAAUUUAGGACUACAGAUAUUAAUGUUAUGUACAGAUAUUAAAGCAGAUUUAUUUAUUUUUCUGUUAAGUUUUGAUCAAUAGAUGA